rnacentral:rRNA from 1 species
UACGAGGGGGGCAAGCGUUGUUCGGAAUUAUUGGGCGUAAAGGGUGCGUAGGCGGUUUUGUAAGUCUUGUGUGAAAUCUUCAGGCUCAACUUGAAGACUGCACGAGAAACUGCAGGGCUUGAGUGUUGCAGGGGGAGACUGGAAUUCCUGGUGUAGCGGUGAAAAUGCGCAGAUAUCAGGAGGAACACCGGUGGCGAAGGCGGGUCUCUGGGCAACAACUGACGCUGAGGAGCGAAAGCGUGGGGAGCGAACAGG